CCAGCACCCGUCUUUGCGACGUCGGCUCAGCUGCAGUCCUCCCCAGAAAAGCAGAGACGCGUCCGACCUCCGACGCUGCCACCAACCUCUUCCCCCAGCCACGCUCCACCGCGCCAUAGCCGCAGGAAAAUAUCAAAUCGGAGCCGCGAUGCACCACAGAAAAAAAUUCCCUAGGGUUUCCAAGCAAAAGCCCUCCUGAAUUCUCCAAUUCCGCGCCUUCCCCCGCUUCGUGGGCCUCGGAUUUAGGGUUUAUGCAUGGCUUCCGACCCUCCCGGCGACGGCGCCGGCGGGGAAGAGCCGACGCCGGGCCCUGCCCCCGCCGUGGAGGUGCUUGCUGCUCCCGCCGUUCCGCUCAGGCCGCGCUGGGCCACGGAGAUCAAGGUCUACACCCGUAAGCACCCCCGCAAAACCCCUAAACCUCCUCCAGAACCAGCUCCCGCCCCCGCCUCCGUCCCUGCCCCUGCCCUUGCUCCUGCCCCGGCCCCGAAUCCCCUUUCCGAAACCUUAUCCUCGAUUCGUCGCUCCAUCCGCCGCGCGGACACGGUUGGCGCUGCGGCGCGGCCCGAUCCGGCAGCGCCGGCCUCGGUUCCCGCCCGGGGGCCACCUGGGGAACGCGGUGCCGCCUCGGGGGACCCCUCAUCUGAGGUGAACCGUGUCGGCGGCGGUAUUUCUAACGGCCACGGCGACGACCGGGCGGCGGCCGCGGCUGAGAAGUCUGAGAAAGCACGGAAACGCAGGGUGAGGAGUGAGUUGCGGCGCCGACUGGCGGGGGAGCUCGACCAGGUCCGCGUGCUCUCCAAGCGGCUGAAGGAGGCUGCCGAGGCCCUGGCGCAGCAGGAGGCUUCUGAGCCUGCGCCUUUGCCCAUGGUGGUGCUGCCAACACAGCAGCAGGUGGUGGAUGCUGGGUAUGUGCAACUGCAGUUCUCAGCUGGUGAUAUGGCGGUGCCCAUGUCUGCUCAGAUUGCAGCUGCUGUUACUCCUGCCCGUUCCAUGCUGCAGCGCAGACCACUAACCGUGUCGGUUGUUCAUAAUGAAGCCUUUGAGAAGGUGAAGCGGACGCCAAAGGCCAAUCAAUUGUACCAAAAUUCGGAGUUCUUGCUUGCCAAGGAUAGGAUCCCUCCCUCAGAUUCACAUGUGCGCAAGAAAUCUAAGCACCACAAGAAGAAGCAUAGGUCCCUAGAAUCUCGUGGCGCAGACUUUGAUGCUGAGCGGCGGCUGUACUCUCAUGCGUUCAAGAAGUCCUCGUCACUUCUAAGCCGUUUAAUGAAGCACAAGUUUGGGUGGGUGUUUAAUAAGCCUGUUGAUCCAGUUGCACUUGGUUUGCAUGAUUAUUUUACUAUUAUCAAGCACCCAAUGGAUCUUGGCACGAUAAGGGGACGGCUUAGCCGCGGACAGUACAGGAACCCGAAGGAGUUUGCUGAGGAUGUCCGGCUCACUUUCCAUAAUGCGAUGACAUAUAAUCCCAAGGGUCAGGAUGUGCAUUUUAUGGCAGAGCAGUUGUCAGGAAUCUUCGAGGCACAGUGGCCUGAGAUUGAGGCUGAGGUUAACUACCUUGCAUCGUGUCCUCCAUUGCCGAAGAAGUUUCCACCUCCACCAAUUGACCUGCACUUCCUAGAGAGGUCAGAUUCGAUGAGACACCACAUGGCAUUGGACACCAAUUCAAGACCGAUCAGUCAUACUCCCACUUACACCCGGACUCCAUCAAUGAAGAAACCAAGGGCAAAGGAUCCAAAUAAGAGGGACAUGACAAUAGACGAGAAGCGUAAGCUUAGUGAGAACCUGCAGAAUUUGCCACCUGAGAAGCUUGAUGCUGUUGUGCAAGUCAUUAAGAACAAGAACCUAUCAGUUAUGCAGCAUGAUGAUGAGAUUGAGGUUGAAAUUGAUAGUAUGGAUGCUGAGACACUUUGGGAGCUUGACCGGUUUGUGGCCAACUACAAGAAGAACCUGAGUAAGCAAAAGAGGAAGGCCGAGCGAGCGAUGCUUGCCAGACAAGAUGCAGAGUUGCGUGCGCAGCGCCUUAUACAACAACCGCAACCAACCCCAGUCCCCCAAGAACCUGUUGGUGAAAAAUCUCUAAAGCAAGUUGCAAAAGAUUCACUGGCAGGUGAGCAACUACCAACAUCUGCAUCAGAGAAAAACGACGAGAAUAGACAGAACGUGAGUGGUUCAAGCAAUUCAAGCAGCUCCAGCAGUGACUCAGGAUCAUCGUCUAGUGACUCAGACAGUGAUAGCUCCUCUUCAGAUGGAUCUGAUGCUGCCAAUUCAUCUUGAGAUAUAGAUUAACUUGGAGCUGGCUGCCUGGCUGAUUCCUUCUAAGGCCAAAUAAGAUAUUUGUAGACCUUCCAGUGAUGUUGGGUUCACAAGUUCUGUCGAGUAGACAAUAACUGUCUAUUUGACAUGACAUUGGCACCAUAAGACUGUACAUGCUUACCUUGUCUGGCUUAGGAAACCCCCUGUAUUUUAAGUAGCUUUGUAUGUGGAUUCACCAGCUGGAGGCAGUAACUUAGGUUUCAUGGUGUACCCGCCUAAUAAGACUAGGCUUGUUGCUGACACCGUGUCUUUGUACACCGCACUGUUGCUAGGAGCUCUCGGUUGGCUCAGUAGCCUGUACAUUAGCGGCAGCUUGCACAUUGAUUCUGUUUAGCUGUGUUGAUUGCAGUAUGUAGGAAGGCGAUUGCCGUAAGCAUUGUUUCUUCCAUCUGUUAACUGACUGAUGAAAGCAUUGACAAAGCCCCGUUGGUGUUCAGUUUGCCACCAUCUUUCUGUGGACUACCUGUAACCGCUGUGGGUUCAUCGCCAUGUGCCAAGUCUUUUUGAUGUUGUAAAUUAAAGUUUGUUGAUGCAUCUGAUGUUUAGCAUCACGACUAUUGACGGUCCGUUCUUAUGUUCUGAUUUGAGGAAUGUUUGCUUGGAAGAUGGCUUGUUGACUUAACUGUCUGUGUAGCAGCAGUUCGGACCUUUGGGUAGGUAGCAGGUAGCCUUCCCUCCGCUGGUGACUGGUGUGGUGAGAUGGUUUGUAUGUUGCUGGCUGUGAUUGUAAUAUGCUGUUGUGCCUUGUCCUUUGAGGUCUGCAAAGGAAAAGUGAAUUCUAUAGGAAAUUUUCUA